rfam:Ictidomys tridecemlineatus contig027015, whole genome shotgun sequence.
GGGAAUGUAACUCAGUGGUAAAGUGCUUGUCUAGCAAGUAUGAGGUCUGGGUUGGAUCCCCAGUACCA